AUUGAACGCUGGCGGAAUGCUUUACACAUGCAAGUCGAACGGCAGCACGGGGGCAACCCUGGUGGCGAGUGGCGAGCGGGUGAGUAAUACAUCGGAACGUGCCCGGUCGUGGGGGAUAACGUAGCGAAAGUUACGCUAAUACCGCAUACGAUCUGAGGAUGAAAGCGGGGGACCUUCGGGCCUCGCGCGAUCGGAGCGGCCGAUGUCAGAUUAGGUAGUUGGUGGGGUAAAGGCCUACCAAGCCGACGAUCUGUAGCUGGUCUGAGAGGACGACCAGCCACACUGGGACUGAGACACGGCCCAGACUCCUACGGGAGGCAGCAGUGGGGAAUUUUGGACAAUGGGCGCAAGCCUGAUCCAGCCAUUCCGCGUGAAGGACGAAGGCCUUCGGGUUGUAAACUGCUUUUGUAUGGAACGAAAAGGCUCUGGCUAAUACCUGGGGCUCAUGACGGUACCGUAAGAAUAAGCACCGGCUAACUACGUG
rnacentral:rRNA from 1 species